rnacentral:rRNA from 1 species
UUCCUGGUUGAUCCUGCCGGACCCUACUGCUAUCGGGGGUGGGACUAAGACAUGCGAGUCGAGCGUCUCUAGUUAUGGUGAGACGCGGCAGACGGCUCAGUAACACGUGGCUAACCUACCCUCAGGACGGGGACAAACCCGGGAAACUGGGGCUAAUACCCGAUAGGCGAGGGCGCCUGGAAUGGUUCUUCACCCAAAGGGCUUUGGAAGCAUGCUUUUCAAAGUCGCCUGAGGAUGGGGCCGCGUCCGAUCAGGUUGUGGGUGAGGUAACGGCUCACCAAGCCUAUAACCGGUACGGGCCGUGAGAGCGGUAGCCCGGAGAUGGGCACUGAGACAAGGGCCCAGGCCCUACGGGGCGCAGCAGUCGCGAAAACUCCGCAAUGCACGAAAGUGUGACGGG